UGGGGAAUAUUGGACAAUGGGCGCAAGCCUGAUCCAGCCAUGCCGCGUGAGUGAUGAAGGCCUUAGGGUUGUAAAAGCUCUUUCACCCACGACGAUAAUGACGGUAGUGGGAGAAGAAGCCCCCGGCUAACUUCGUGCCAGCAGCCGCGGUAAUACGAAGGGGGCUAGCGUUGCUCGGAAUCACUGGGCGUAAAGGGCGCGUAGGCGGCCGAUCAAGUCAGGGGUGAAAGCCUGUGGCUCAACCACAGAAUUGCCUUUGAUACUGUUCGGCUCGAGACCGGAAGAGGUUGGUGGAACUGCGAGUGUAGAGGUGAAAUUCGUAGAUAUUCGCAAGAACACCAGUGGCGAAGGCGGCCAACUGGUCCGGUUCUGACGCUGAGGCGCGAAAGCGUGGGGAGCAAACAGGAUUAGAUACCCUGGUAGUCCACGCCGUAAAACGAUGAAUGCCAGCCGUUGGGCAGCUUGCUGCUCAGUGGCGCAGCUAACGCUUUAAAGCAUUCCGCCUGGGGAGUACGGUCGCAAGAUUAAAAACUC
rnacentral:rRNA from 1 species